UUUCCUAUUGUUAUUGAUUGUAAAAUGUUUAUGUGAAAAUGUUACAGGUUAUUUAUCACGUAGAAACCAAUUUGCCAAAUCAUUCAACUCAGACUUGGAAUUGCCUGUACAUUGCCGAAAUGGCGUGCCUCGUGUGUCUCGCUGCCUGUUCUUAGGCGUACGUCUCAUCCCAAUGAUCCCAUGCAACAGUAAAAAGUAUUACAAACGCUUCUUUAACGCUGUUGGCCACCUUGUUGCAGCCAAAUGGUGAAAGGUGUGACGAAGACAGAUUAAACCGGUGUAUGCAGCAUGAGGUUGCAGU